AGGCAGCAGUUAGGAAUAUUGGUCAAUGGACGCAAGUCUGAACCAGCCAUGCCGCGUGAAGGAUGAAGGUCCUCUGGAUUGUAAACUUCUUUUAUAGGGGGCGAAAAAAGGGAAAUCUUUCUCACUUGACAGUACCCUAUGAAUAAGCACCGGCUAACUCCGUGCCAGCAGCCGCGGUAAUACGGAGGGUGCAAGCGUUAUCCGGAUUCACUGGGUUUAAAGGGUGCGCAGGCGGGCGUAUAAGUCAGUGGUGAAAUCCUGGAGCUUAACUCCAGAACUGCCAUUGAUACUAUAUGUCUUGAAUAUGGUGGGGGUAAGCGGAAUAUGUCGUGUAGCGGUGAAAUGCAUAGAUAUGACAUAGAGCACCUAUUGCGAAGGCAGCUUACUACGCCUAUAUUGACGCUGAGGCACGAAAGCGUGGGGAUCAAACAGGAUUAGAUACCCGAGUAGUCC
rnacentral:rRNA from 1 species